AUGCCGCCAGAUCUUCCCAAAGAGGGCGAGAAGACCCACUCCUUGAAUCUUGACCCCCAAACACCUGCGACCAAUUGUCUGUCCACAAUCUCCUUUUUAGUUUCCAACAAAAUUACUAUUUUUGGUUUGAGUCUCCGUAGUUGCUCUUUUACCAGUAAUCUUUUCCUUCUACUUCCCAGACCUCGAAUAUUCCAACUGAUUAUCUUCAUUAAUGAGAGGUAUAAUCCCUUUUCUUCUCAUUACCUUUUCCAGAGCCCAUCGAUCCCGUGCCACCAUUGGAAUUACAAGGUUUACCAUGUCUUCUGUGAGCCAAGUUCUUCUUUAGGGGCAACAAAGAUAUGUCCAUUUUGUGCAUCAACGAUUUAG
rnacentral:lncRNA from 1 species